AACGAACGCUGGCGGCAUGCCUAACACAUGCAAGUCGAACGCCCCGCAAGGGGAGUGGCGCACGGGUGAGUAACGCGUGGGAACCUGCCCUGGAGUGGGGAUAACCGAUGGAAACGUCGGCUAAUACCGCAUACGACCUGAGGUGAAAGAUUCAUCGCUCUAGGAGGGGCCCGCGUCAGAUUAGCUAGUUGGUGGGGUAAACGGCCUACCAAGGCGAUGAUCUGUAGCUGGUCUGAGAGGAUGAUCAGCCACACUGGGACUGAGACACGGCCCAGACUCCUACGGGAGGCAGCAGUGGGGAAUAUUGGACAAUAGGGGCGAACCCUGAGUACCAGCAACUAGCCGCGUGAGUGAU
rnacentral:rRNA from 1 species